rfam:Capsicum annuum cultivar Zunla-1 chromosome 4, whole genome shotgun sequence
UCCUUGUGUUAGAAGACAUUAGAUAAAAUUUGAACGAUAAAGAGAAAAUUUGCAUGACCCCUAUACAAGGAUAGACAUAAACAAUGAACUUCAAUACAGUCAU